ACAUCGGUAGCACUGUGGUCAGUACAGUCCCGAAAAAGAAAGACGCGGGUUCAAUUCCCGUCCGAUGUC
rnacentral:tRNA from 1 species